UCUUCCUCCUCUUCUUCUUCCUCCUCAAAUAUGCCAUUGCUAUAUGUACAUAGUUUAUGCGCAAAAUAGACGUGUGUUUUUUCCAAGUUCACAGAGACUUCGCCUGCAGCAAAGCCGCGCGGACAAAACAAACUACAGAAAAGUUUCCCACGAACGCACCAUUGGUAACACAGAGGCACGAACAACAUGUACUCCCUCCGUUCCAAAAUAGAUGACCCAACUUCGUACUAACUUUGUACUAAAGUUAGUAUAAAGUUGAGUCAUCUAUUUUGGAACAGAGGGAGUAUGCAUCACAACCACAACAAAAACACAUAUAGAGGGGGUAUCUCUGCAGCAGAAGAAACACAUUCCACGAAAUCCAUUACAUGACAUACACAACUACGAGAUUGGACUGCAGAGCCUUUAUUACAACAUUAUACUGAAGCUUCAGGUGAUGCACCAAUGCAUCUAGUUGACGCAGCAACA
rnacentral:lncRNA from 1 species